AGCGGCGACAACACCGCGGCGCCGAACAGCAGGAUGCCGACGGUCCAUCCGCCGAUGCCGAGGCUUUCGACGAUCAACUUGUCGUACGCCACGCCUAGGAGCGCANNUCGCCACCGUGACCCACGAACUCAAAUGCGGUGACCAGGGCCUGCGGCGCAGCGUCAGCAGCGCCACGCCAAACACGAGCGCCGAGAAAAUCAUGCCUGCGCCGGCAUAGAUNAAGUUGGUGAUCGGCUCGCCCGCUGGAUAUUUCAGAUCUCGGCUGCCGGCAGCGUCGAACA
rnacentral:misc_RNA from 1 species